rnacentral:rRNA from 1 species
UACGGGGGGGGCAAGCGUUGUUCGGAAUUACUGGGCGUAAAGGGCUCGUAGGUGGCCAACUAAGUCAGACGUGAAAAUCCCUCGGCUUAACCGGGGAACUGCGUCUGAUACUGGAUGGCUUGAGUUCGGGAGAGGGAUGCGGAAUUCCAGGUGUAGCGGUGAAAUGCGUAGAUAUCUGGAGGAACACCGGUGGCGAAGGCGGCAUCCUGGACCGACACUGACGCUGAGGAGCGAAAAGCCAGGGGAGCAAACGGG